rnacentral:rRNA from 1 species
GCAAAGGUAGCAUAGUCAUUAGUUCUUUAAUUGUGAUCUGGUAUGAAUGGCUUGACGAGGCAUGGGCUGUCUUAAUUUUGAAUUGUUUAUUGAAUUUGAUCUUUGAGUUAAAAUUCUUAGAUGUUUUUAUGGGACGAGAAGACCCUAUAGAGUUUAACAUUUGUUAUGGUCCCCUUUCUGUUUGUGAGGGUUUAUUGGGCCGUUUAAUAUGUUUUGUUGGGGUGAUGGGAGGGAUUAAUUUAACCCCUCCUUUUUAUUAUUAUAUUUAUUUAUAUUUACUUGAUCCAUUUAUUUUGAUUGUAAGAUUAAAUUACCUUAGGGAUAACAGCGUUAUCUUCCUUGAGAGUUCUUAUCGGCAGGGGGGUUUGCG